CGCCCCUCACACCAAGUACACCCGUCUGCAGCCCGCAGAUCGGGGCGGGGCUGAAUAUGGGGCGGAGCUGAUUGUGCAGCCCCGCCCAUAAAUGGGCGAGACUGAACAUGUCACUCCGCCCACAAGUCUUUCAUUGGUUCAUGGAAACAGACGUUGAUGUAAUGUAUGCUUUCGAUUCCGGUUUUCAUCUCUGCAUGAUGCCGCCUGAGAUCCUGUAGUGUAUCCUACUGAGAGUUGUCAC